GAUGAACGCUGGCGGCGUGCCUAAUACAUGCAAGUCGAGCGAACAGAUAAGGAGCUUGCUCCUUUGACGUUAGCGGCGGACGGGUGAGUAACACGUGGGUAACCUACCUAUAAGACUGGGAUAACUUCGGGAAACCGGAGCUAAUACCGGAUAACAUUUGGAACCGCAUGGUUCUAAAGUGAAAGAUGGUUUUGCUAUCACUUAUAGAUGGACCCGCGCCGUAUUAGCUAGUUGGUAAGGUAACGGCUUACCAAGGCGACGAUACGUAGCCGACCUGAGAGGGUGAUCGGCCACACUGGAACUGAGACACGGUCCAGACUCCUACGGGAGGCAGCAGUAGGGAAUCUUCCGCAAUGGGCGAAAGCCUGACGGAGCAACGCCGCGUGAGUGAUGAAGGGUUUCGGCUCGUAAAACUCUGUUAUUAGGGAAGAACAAACGUGUAAGUAACUGUGCACGUCUUGACGGUACCUAAUCAGAAAGCCACGGCUAACUACGUGCCAGCCGCCGCGGUAA
rnacentral:rRNA from 1 species